GACGAACUGUCCUAACGUUGUUCGGAAUCACUGGGCUUAAAGGGCGCGUAGGCGGUCUGCCAAGUCAGGGGUGAAAUCCUGCAGCUUAACUGUAGAAGUGCCUUUGAUACUGGCAGUCUCGAGGGAGGUAGGGGUGUGUGGAACUCACAGUGGAGCGGUGAAAUGCGUUGAUAUUGUGAGGAACGCCGGAGGCGAAAGCGACGCACUGGACCUUUUCUAACGCUGAGGCGCGAAAGCUAGGGGAGCAAACGGG
rnacentral:rRNA from 1 species